rnacentral:lncRNA from 1 species
CCGCUGGACUGUAAGCUCCUACGGAGAGAGGUAACCUCCAAAAAUCAUCUGACAGCCUGGGGGUUUUGACAAGAGCCUUCAAAUCCUGGCAAUGUCAAGGGGAAGUUCCAGCAGGAGGCUUACAAAGCAAGUAUUCCCUGCAAUAAGAUUAGCAAACUGAAGUUCAAAGAAUUGGAUAACCUAGCCCAAGAUCAGACCUUUGGAGAAUGAAAGAAUCUGGAUUUGCACCCGGAACUUACUGGCUUCCACCUCUAAACACCAGCUUCCCUGUUCCAACUUUUCUAAAGUUGAAUGUUCUUCAUACAAAUAUCAGCAGGAAGACAUUGAGGCACAAAAUAAAUGGGGUAUUGUAUGAGAAUGCCUAGCUUUCAAUGAGCUUAUGUCUCCAAGCUUGGACAAAUUCCGGCUGGGGUACCAACAGAAUUUAUAUAUGAGAAGACUGUUGGCAGCUUUUCAGGGACUGUGGGGCCGGGGAGAGACGCCAGAAGACUGUGGCUGGGUACACACUAUUCCAUUUUGUGAAAAGGGGAAGAAGGUUGAUUCUGCAAACCAUAGAUGCCAGAGUCCUGGGCAAAGUUCUUGAAGGGCAUCCUAUAAACAUAAAAAAAGGGAAGUCAUUGCUAGGCACCAACAAGUUUUCAUUGAGAAGAGAUUAUUCCAAAUGAACCUAACUUCCAUUUCUCAUAAGGUGAAAAAUUGGUAUGGCUUUAUUUAGACAAUACAUUUUGCUCAUUUUCA